CCUUUGAAUUAUUUUACAGUAGGAAUUAGAAAUCUGUUCGUUUUAGUGACGUAAAUCCCCGGCCGUUUGUUGCAUUGAUUUCACCCAUCGAAUUGAAAGCCAACACUAAAACCUUUCAUUGUUUCAUUCUCUAAUAAAUAUUCCCCCUUUACGUUGAUUUCUGUUUUCUUUUGCACCUAGACGGGCAAAUUCCUAACACCUUUUCUUAACUGAGGCUAGGAGCACGAUUGCAUUUGUGUGCUGGCCAGCAGCCUCAAAGAGCCAGAGGAGGGGAGUGAAAACGCCAGUGAUCCUGCACAGGGAGAAGAGAUUUCACAGCAACUUAGCAAGCAAACAAGACAAAAGUUAAAGAGUGAUGGCACUAUACCUUGCCCCCGGUCACUCAGACGUGCGCUUCCCAUUUUGUACAUGAUGAAGAGUUUUGGAAACUACAUCUGAGUCCAAUGGAUCGUUUUGUUUGUGGAAUCAAAGCCCACCUAAGAGUGAAACAAGCCACUGGAUAUCCUUGAAUGCUGUAUUUUGUAUCUUGGUCACUGGUUUAGCCCAUAACCCUGUAAAAAUUCUCUGGGGCUAUUGUAUAAAAUCUAUACAGCUGAGCAGACUCAUGUAUCUUGUUUAUUUAAGCAGGGGAAUGAUUACAUUUGCUCUAGAUACACUAGUUUCAGGCAAAAGCAUGCAAACCACCCAGUGUAUAAAGUUCCCAAAUUUAAGCAAACCACAACCCCUUUUCAAAAUCUUCUAUCACAAGUGUAUUAGACAAUCAUAUAUGCAGACAGAAGUUUCCUGGCACAGCUAUGGUUCUGAGUGGAUGCUGCUGCUAAAACAUUGCUAAAAUAAUCCCAUACAAGUGGUGCUCCCGCUUGUGGUGCUAUGCAUGUGUUGAUCAGAGAUCAGAAUUGAGCCCUCAGUGUUGCUACAUCAUUGAAAAACUCAAACAAGGGGAAGAUAGUGAUCUUAAAGGAGGAGACUAUUGUUUGUGCACAGAUAUUUUGGUAAAUAGUAUCAAUCAGUAAAUAAUAAGAAAAUAUAUGAAAUAGAUUAAUGCAACAUACUUAGGCUUAAUUAAAUAACCUAUCUGUCUGUUUAACCCAGGAUUUCCCGAUUUCUUUUCCUUAUGGAUCUCAUUUUAUAAGAGACAUUGUUUUGUGGACCAACUCCUUUCCUAAAUACAAUUGUUCAGAUCACUCCCUCGCCCCUUCAUGACUGGAGCAACUACAAUUUCUUAAAGGAGGAAGUCAUAGUAGGAAAGUAUCAAAGGUCGUUUUCGCCAUCUUUUCAUGCCAUUUGGCAGAUGGAAAGGAGAAGGAGAGUUGAGUCUCAUGACCAGCCAGCUCUCUGCAGAACACCAGUGCAGUGGAUACCACGUAUAGGUGUGAUGCCCAGGACCUUCCACUCUCUGUCUGAUUUAGAGCCUUUGAGGAGGAGCACUGGGGAGUCCAGAUGACUGUUGGAUUUCGUCGCUGGCAAGGAGGCCCUAUGGGAUGAUGGACACCAGGAAUGCAGGAUGGCAGGAAUGGUGGUGACAGGGCUCCUUUUCCUCAAUCUCACUGCGGGACCAAUAGUAUUCUUCACUCUUCAGCUCUGGAGCACUGUGAAGACCCGACCGUGUACGUACUGUCGCUGGGGUGGACAGCCCCAGGAACAAGUCCUUAUAUCACUUUUGUGGCGGGAAAAGUUCUGAGGAGAUGGAAUGCUGAGGGCUGGUUUUGGCGGGAAAAACUGGUUUUGACUGGUUUGAGCCUGUGUCUUAAUGGUAAACAAGUCCAUUCUCAGAGAUGGAGUCCAAGGGUCAAUAGCUCAUAUAUUCCAUAUUGGAUCUUAUUUUAAAGCCAGUGAUUUACUUAACAUUACUUCAUAAAACACUUUAUUAAACAACUAAUUGAACAUAUUAAACAGUUUAUACUUCUUACACCUAACAUCCAAAAACAUCCAGUAGGUGAAAAUUAGAGAUUCACACUCUCAGCGUAGGAGCUACCGCAACACAUAUAUUUUACAAAGAAACCCAAUCAGACAUAAGAUAAAAAAGUAAAGAUUAAUGUUUUCAUUUUUUUCAUUCCUUUCAUUAAAACUUGACAUUUUAGAUUCUUAUUUUCCCAGUCACUGAUCAAUAAUGUGAGCUAAAUUUUUAUUUAAAAAUCUUUUUUAUAUGAAACUCUGUGAUGGGAUCCAUGGUGUGCAACCUGGGACUGUGGGACCACUGUGCCCCCUUAACUCUGCAGCCUGGGCUGUCGCUCAAAAUGCUUUGCUAGUGACAAGCAGCAAACCCCUCCAGGUCCUGUUACCACUCAGUUCAACCGCAUGUGGAGUCCCAUACCCAGCUAGAUUGUAUGUGUAGACGUGCUCUUCAUUGCUCUAUGGCACAAAUUCACAGGAAACCACUCUUUCAAACACCAGUGCCCUUUUAUUUCCUUGUAUUUUCCCACCACCACGUAUAUACAACUUUAUACAGUUCGCUAUCAGGCACGUAGCCCCUUGGGGAACAGCUUGCUCUUACAGCUAACUGGGAGCAACCGGCCCUCACUCCUCACAUUCUUGUUCCUCCCCUCCUACUUCCUUCCUGCUAGCUUUAUAGGCCUUCCCCUAUCAAGCUCACAGGUGUCUCUCCUUUAGGGCUUUAAUCAGCCACCACCUGUCAGCUCUAAUCUCUUCCCCUUACUGGGAGCUGAGCAAGUAGGCUCUGAGCUAACAGUGGCUGAGUCAGUGCCUUUUGGCCAGCACCCUAUUACAGUAUGAAUGCUCUCAGAGUCACUCAUGAAUCUCAGAGAAAGGCAACAGCCAAAUCCUCUCCAGUUCCCAGCCUUGUACCUCAGGCAUAUACCAUCCUGCACUGUUCAAGACCCUUUCUUGAGCAAUGCAAGUUUAUUAAUUGGUUCACUACUUCAUCAAUGGAAAGUGGAUAUACACCAGCCUUUGUAAACCUGAACAGAUUUAUUAAACGUUUCAGGCAAACUCACUGGUAAAGAUAAACGGUAA